rnacentral:lncRNA from 1 species
GAGUAUUAUUUAACUUGAGAAUUGUACAUUUUAUUAUUCUUUAGUUGUUUUACUAAAAAUUACAAUGUGAAAUCUUGACUUAAAUCUCUUAAUAUAAACUAGUACUUCUCUUACUUCUCUGACAAAAAAUAUGUUUGAAAAAUAUGUUCAGUAUCCUACCCUAUGCUCACAUCUGCACUAUAUUUGAAGUGUAUUUUAUUUUUAUAUCACAAUAGAUUUCAUUAUUAUUCUGCUGAGUCAAAACUUAUUUACAUUUGCCUAUUUAUUUACCAUUAAUUCUCUUUAUUUGUGAAUUUGUAUUUAUUUCUGGGACGAGUUACAUUUCCUCAAAAACUCCCUUAAGCAAUUCUUUUAAUCUAACUCUGCUUAUUAUAAAUAAGUAAUUUUUAUUUGUCUUAAAACAUUUUAAUUCCACCUUCCUCUUUGGAGAAUAUUUUUGCCGGUUUUUUAAAAUGGUGUCAACAGCUAUUUUCUUUCAUCAUUUUAAAUAUAUGAUUCAAAUUUUCCCCUGUAUUUUGUUGUUUUUUAUUCCAUAAUAAUUCAUUAUAUGAAACCUUCAGCUUAUCAAGAGUGGUAAGAUCUUCCAAACAAAAGCUGAACAAAGAAACUCUAGAAUUCAAUAACACAAUCAAUAACUUAGUCUUAACUGACAUAUAUAGAAUAUUUUAUCCUUCAGCCAGUGAAUACAGAUUCUUCUCAGCAGCACAUGGAUUCUUUUCUAAAAUAGACUAUAUGCCACAAAACAACUCUUAGCAAAUACAAAAAAGUAGAGAUACUACCCUGUAUUCUACCAGAUCAUAAUGGAAUGAAGCUAGGAAACAAUGAUAAAAUAAAGAUAAAAGCUACUCCAAUACCCAGAGACUAAAUAAUAUUCUACUGAAUGAAUAGUGGGUUGCUAAAGACAUCCAGAAGGAGAUUAAAAAAUUCUUAGAGGUAAAUGAGAACACUGAUACAACAUAUCUAAAUCUCUGGUAAAUUAUGAAGGCAAUUCUAAGAGGAAAGUUCAUUGCAUGGAGUUCAUUCCUUAACAGAAGAAAAAGUCAACAAAUAAAUGACUUAAUAUUACAUGUCAAAGUCCUAGAGAAAGAAGGCCAAACCAACACCAAAAGCAGUAGAAGACAUGAAAUAAUUGAAAUCAGAGCUGAAAUCAAUGAAAUUGAAACAAAACAAACAUUUGAAAAAAUUGACCAAAAAAAUAGUUUUUUGAAAAAAUAAAUAAAAUUGACACACCCUUAGCCAUGCUAAUAAAGAAAAGGAGAGAAAACUCAAAUUACUAACAUACAUGAUGAAAAAGAAAAUAUCAUAACAGACACUACAGAAACAUAGAAGAUAAUUAGAAACUAUUUUGAAAACUUGUACUCCAAUAAAAUAGAAAAUAUUGAAUGCAUUGACAAAUUUCUAGAUUCCUAUGAUUUUCCAAAAUUAAAUCUGGAUGAUAUACACAAUUUAAACAGAUCAGUUUCAAGAAAUAAAAUAGAAGAUGCCAUCAGAAGCCCCCCAACCAAGAAAAGCCAAGAAUAGAUGGAUACACAGGUGAGUUCUACAAGACCUUUAAUGAAGAACUAAUACCAAUACUUAUCAAAUUAUUUCAUGAAAUAGAAAAAGAGAGAUCACUUCCAAACUCAUUUUAUGAAGCAAGUAUCACCAUGAUUCCAAAACCAGGCAAGGACACAUCAAAGAAAGAAAACUUCAGACCAAUAUCUCUAAUAAACAUAGAUGCAAAAAUUCUCAAUAAAAUUCUGGAAAAUCUAAUACAAAACAUAUCAAAAAGAUAGGGUACCAUGAUCAAAUAGGGUUUAUCCAAGGGAUGUGAGGUUCGUUCAACAUAUGGAAAUCAAUAAAUGUAAUUUGUCACAUCAGUAGACUUAAAGAUAAGAAUCAUAAGAUAUCUCAAAAUAUGCAGAAAAAGCAUUUGACAAAAUACAGCACCCCUUUAUGUUCAAAACACUAGAAAAACUAGGGAUAACAAGACCAUAUCUCAAAAUCAAGAGUCAAAAUCAUAAAAGCUAUCUAUGCUAAGCCCCAGGCCAACAUCAUUCUAAAUGGAGAAAAAUUGAAAGCACUCCUUCUAAAAACUGGAACAAGACAGGGAUGCCCUCUCUCACCAUUUCUAUUUAACAUAGUUCUUGAAACACUGGCCAGAGCAAUUAGACAGAUAAAAAGAAAUUAAAGGGAGAAGAAGAACUCAAAUAUGACUAUUUGCUGAUGAUAUGAUUCUAUACCUAGAAGACACACACAAAAAAAAUCCACCAGAAAACUUCUAGAACUAAUAAGUGAAUUCAGCAAAGUAGCACUAUAAAAAAUCAACACCCGUAAAUCAAAGGCAUUUCUGUAUAUCAGUGACAAAUCAUCUGAAAGGGAGAUGAGGAAAACUACCCCAUUUACAAUAGUCUCAAAAAAAAAAGUACUUUGGGUAUCAACUUAAUGAAAGAGGUGAAAGACUUCUACAAUGAAAUCUACAGACACUAAAGGAAGAAAUUUAAAAAGACCUUAAAAGAUGGAAAGAUCUCCCUUGUUCUUGGAUAGGCUGAAUUAAUACAGUCAAAAUGACCAUACUAACAAAAGCAUUCUAUAGAUUUAGUGCAAUUCCAAUCAAAGUCCCAAUGGUAUUCCUCACAGAAAUAGAAAAAACAGUCAUGAAAUUCAUCUAUAACAGACCUCAAACUAUACUACAGACCAAUAGUAACAAAAUCAGCAAGGUAUUGUCAGCAAAAUAGACUGGUAGACCAAUGGUACAGAAUAGAGGACACAGACACCAACCCACACAACUACAGUAAUCUUAUAUUAGACAAAGGCAAACAAAGGCACCAAAAACAUACAUUGGAGAAAAGAUUGUCUCUUCAAAAAACGGCUCUGGGAAUACGGGAAAUCCAUAUGCAACAAAACGAAAUGAAACCCCUAUCUCUCACCAUGCACAAACCUCAACUCAAAGUGGACCUAGGAAUUAAACCAGAGACACUGUGUCUAAUAGAAGAAAAAGUAGGCCCAAAUCUCCAUCAUGUCAUAUUAGGCCCUAACUUUCUUAAUAAGAUUCCUAUAGCACAAGACUUUAAAUCAAGAGUCAAUAAAUGGGCUGCAUUCAAACUAAAAAUCUUCUUCUCGGCAAAAGAAACAAUCAGUGAGGUUAAUAGAGAGCCUACAUUUUGGGAGCAAAUUUUUACCACAUGCACAUCAGAUAAAGCACUAAUCUCUAGGAUAUACAAAGAACUCAAAAACCUUAAAACCAAAAAAAAAAAAAAAAGAAAGAAAAAACACACAAAUAACCCAAUCAAUAAAUGGGCCAAAGAAAUGAAGAGUCACUUCUCAGAAGAUGAUAUACAAUCAAUCAACAAAUAUAUGAAAAAAUGUUCAACAUCUCUAGCAAUUAGAGAAAUGAAAAUCAAAACUAUUCUAAGAUUUCGUCUCAUUCCAGCCAGAAUGGCAGCUAUUAAUACAAACAACAAUAAGCAUUGAUGAGGGUGUGUGCGGGGUGGGGGGGGG